AUGGAUCAAAGUCUCAGCAGGGCGAAAACAAUGCUAGCAGGCAUGACAGACAAAUCAUUAUUGAAGAUACAAAGUGGGCUGUUGAUUUCCAGGUGCUACACAGAAGGCCUGGAGAGAGCUGGAAGCUCUGCAGCCUUCCUCCGCCCUCCCAGCAAGCCUAACCCUGCUUGGCUCCAGCUCGGUCAUGCCUGGAUGGGUUUAGAGAACCGCAACCAGUUCUAAUGGAGAAGUUAUGAACUUCAUUCCACAAGCUUGGAUGGGAAACAGCUGGGGCUCUGGUGUGGACCAAAUAGCCCAGAAGUUGCCUGCAACCAGCUUAAAUGACCUUAAGCUGACCUUACCUGCUGCCUGACCUGUUUCUACAUCCUAAGAUGCUUAUUGCACAACCAGAAACCUCCUGUUGAAAAUACAGCUGGAAGCCGGCGUAAAUGGAUGGUAAGAGUGGAAAACAUUCCUCUGGUCCCUCGGCGGGAGGGCACAUCUCAUCAUGAGACCAGUGGUGACAUGAGGAUGAGAAAUCAGACACCCAGGACCUGUCACCUUGAAACAGGCACCCCCUAACCCUCUCACCUUAGUUGUCCCAAACAUUGGAUGUUCCUUAAAAACCACCUGUUUUCUGUGUCCUAUUUUGUUUUGUCCACUGUGCAGAACAAAGGAUAGAUUUACCCACUCUGGGGUGGGGGAGAGGGAUGGGAAGAGCAAUGUCACAUUAGGACUCUCCCAGUUGUCCUGGGUUUUAAGAAGCCAGGUGUAAUGAGAAAGCACCAGAUGGUGGUGGUGUAGUUGCCCAAAACCGAAACCUCCCCACCCCUAUGCCCAGCACCAUGAGAAUCUUACUCUGGAGGGGACCUUGGCGUAGCUGGCAAACAAGAAGAUGGAAACAAAGCAUCGUGAGCAGACCAUAGAAAUGACUAGAAAACCAACUUGAGCUUUACUUUCCACUGGCAUCUGAGCCAAGGCGGUAGUGUUUCUCCCAUCAACUCCAACCAAGGGGCUCGAGCUGGAAAUCUAAGGGUGUGUGUGUCGAAGGCCCCCUGUGAUCCACACGUUCUGCUAUCCAUGUCCUUGGUUGGUCCUCUUCCACAGCGUCCCAUGACUGGUCUGCGUGGCAGACAGAAUUACGGCUUCCAAAGAUCUCACGUCUUAAUCCCUGGGACCGGUGAAUAUGUUAUGUCACGUCGCAGGGGGGAAUUAAGGUUGAGAACGGAAUUAAAGUUGCUAAUCAAUGGACCUUGAGAUGGGGGCGAUUAUCCUGGAUUCCCUGGGU
rnacentral:lncRNA from 1 species